rnacentral:rRNA from 1 species
AUUAAUUUAAUGGCUGCAGUAUUCUAACUGUACAAAGGUAGCAUAAUAAUUAGUUCCUUAAUUAGGGACUGGAAUGAAGGAUUGAACGAGAUAAAAAUUGUCUCUUUUUAAAUUUUAUAAUUUUAUUUUUAAGUUAAAAAGCUUAAAUAUUAUUAAAAGACGAGAAGACCCUAUAGAGUUUUAUAAUUAUAAUGUAAAUAAAUUUUAGUAAUAAAAUUUUAUUUAUACAAUGAUUAUUUGGUUGGGGUGAUUUUAAAAUUUAAAAAACUUUAAUAUAAUUUACAUUAAUAUAUGAAUAAUUGAUCCAUAAUUUAUGAUUAAAAGAUUAAAUUACCUUAGGGAUAACAGCGUAAUUUUUUUAAAGAGUUCUAAUCGAAAAAAAAGAUUGCGACCUCGAUGUUGGAUUAAAAUAAAUUUUUGGUGUAGAAGCUGAAAUAUUAGGUCUGUUCGACCUUUAAAAUUUUACAUGAUCUGAGUUUAAAUCGGCGUGAGCCAGGUUGGUUUCUAUCUUUAAUUAAAUAAAAUAUUUUAGUACGAAAGGACCAUAUAUUUAUAAUGUUUAUUUAUUUAUGAUUAAUAUUA